rnacentral:rRNA from 1 species
GUGGGGAAUAUUGGACAAUGGGCGCAAGCCUGAUCCAGCCAUACCGCGUGGGUGAAGAAGGCCUUCGGGUUGUAAAGCCCUUUUGUUGGGAAAGAAAUCCUGUCGGUUAAUACCUGGCGGGGAUGACGGUACCCAAAGAAUAAGCACCGGCUAACUUCGUGCCAGCAGCCGCGGUAAUACGAAGGGUGCAAGCGUUACUCGGAAUUACUGGGCGUAAAGCGUGCGUAGGUGGUGGUUUAAGUCCGUUGUGAAAGCCCUGGGCUCAACCGGGGAAUUGCAGUGGAUACUGGAUCACUAGAGUGUGGUAGAGGGAUGCGGAAUUUCUGGUGUAGUAGUGAAAUGCGUAGAGAUCAGAAGGAACAUCCGUGGCGAAGGCGGCAUCCUGGGCCAACACUGACACUGAGGCACGAAAGCGUGGGGAGCAAACAGGAUUAGAAACCCGAGUAGUCC